UACUGUACAUAAAAUAUGAAAGUACAUCAAAUAUAUAUUUUAUUCUAUACAUAAAAUAUCAAAAUACACCAAAUAUAUAUUCUAUAAUAUACAUAAAAUAUCAAAAUACCCAAAAUAUAUAUUCUAUACUAUACAAAAAAUAUCAAAAUACCCAAAACAUAUAUUAUAUACUAUACAUAAAAUAUAAAAAUACAUCAAAUAUAUAUUUUAUUCUAUACAUAAAAUAUCAAAAUACACCAAAUAUAUAUUCUAUAAUAUACAUAAAAUAUCAAAAUACCCAAAAUAUAUAUUCUAUACUAUACAAAAAAUAUCAAAAUACCCAAAACAUAUAUUAUAUACUAUACAUAAAAUAUAAAAA
rnacentral:misc_RNA from 1 species